rnacentral:rRNA from 1 species
UACAGAGGUCCCAAGCGUUGUUCGGGUUCACUGGGCGUAAAGGGUGCGUAGGCGGUCGGGUAAGUCUGACGUGAAAUCUUCAAGCUCAACUUGGAAACUGCGUCCGAUACUAUUCGGCUAGAGGAAUGGAGGGGAGACUGGAAUACUUGGUGUAGCAGUGAAAUGCGUAGAUAUCAAGUGGAACACCAGUGGCGAAGGCGAGUCUCUGGACAUUUCCUGACGCUGAGGCACGAAAGCCAGGGGAGCAAACGGG